rnacentral:rRNA from 1 species
CAUCCUACGGGACGCAGCAGUGGGGAAUAUUGGGCAAUGGGCGCAAGCCUGACCCAGCAACGCCGCGUGAGGGAAGACGGUCCGAUGGAUUGUAAACCUCUUUAGGCGGGGAGCAAUGCCGGGCACGCGUGCCCGGAGGGAGAGUACCCGCAGAAUAAGCAUCGGCUAACUCCGUGCCAGCAGCCGCGGUAAUACGGAGGAUGCGAGCGUUAUCCGGAUUUAUUGGGUUUAAAGGGUGCGUAGGCGGAUUUUUAAGUCAGCGGUAAAAUGUCCGGGCUCAACCCGGGCCGGCCGUUGAAACUGGG